rnacentral:rRNA from 1 species
GAUGAACGCUAGCGGGAGGCCUAACACAUGCAAGCCGAGCGGUAGAAUUUCUUCGGAAAUUUGAGAGCGGCGCACGGGUGCGGAACACGUGUGCAACCUGCCUUUAUCUGGGGGAUAGCCUUUCGAAAGGAAGAUUAAUACCCCAUAAUAUAUUGAUUGGCAUCAAUUAAUAUUGAAAACUCCGGUGGAUAAAGAUGGGCACGCGCAAGAUUAGAUAGUUGGUGAGGUAACGGCUCACCAAGUCUGCGAUCUUUAGGGGGCCGGAGAGGGUGAUCCCCCACACUGGUACUGAGACACGGACCAGACUCCUACGGGAGGCAGCAGUGAGGAAUAUUGGACAAUGGGUGAGAGCCUGAUCCAGCCAUCCCGCGUGAAGGAAUAAGGACCUAUGGUUUGUAAACUUCUUUUGUACAGGGAUAAACCUAUCUACGUGUAGAUAGCUGAAGGUACUGUACGAAUAAGCACCGGCUAACUCCGUGCCAGCCGCCGCGGUAAAAC